UACGUAGGGCGCAAGCGUUAUCCGGAAUUAUUGGGCGUAAAGGGCUCGUAGGCGGCGUGUCGCGUCGGGAGUGAAAGCCCGCUGCUUAACGGCGGGUUGGCUUCCGGUACGGGCAUCGCUGGAGUGCGGCAGGGGAGACUGGAAUUCCUGGUGUAGCGGUGGAAUGCGCAGAUAUCAGGAAGAACACCCGUGGCUAAGGCGGCUCUCUAGUACGGUACUGACGCUGAGACGCGAAAGCGUGGGGAGCGAACAGG
rnacentral:rRNA from 1 species